rnacentral:rRNA from 1 species
GACAGAGGGUGCAAGCGUUGUUCGGAAUUACUGGGCGUAAAGGGCGCGUAGGCGGCCUUCUAAGUCGGACGUGAAAUCCCUGGGCUCAACCCAGGAACUGCGUCCGAUACUGGAAGGCUUGAGUCCGGGAGAGGGAUGCGGAAUUCCAGGUGUAGCGGUGAAAUGCGUAGAUAUCUGGAGGAACACCGGUGGCGAAGGCGGCAUCCUGGACCGGUACUGACGCUGAGGCGCGAAAGCCAGGGGAGCAAACGGG